rnacentral:misc_RNA from 1 species
CUGAAUUGUCAACACGAGUUGUUGCUGGUCCUCAAGUGGGGGCAUGUGCACGCUCUGUUUACACAUCCACUCACACCUGUGCACCCUCUGUAGUUCUGUGGCUGGGGGACUCUGUCCUCCUGCUGCGGUUCUAUGUCUUUACACACACACACUGUAUUAAAGUCUCAUGGAAUGUAUGCUGCGUUUAACGCAAUACAAUA